CUCCCCCAGCACCACCACCGCCACCAUCACUACCACCAGUCUCCGCCCCGACUGCCUCACAGACAGUGGUCGUCGGUCACUGUCUCGUAGCCAAUCUUAUACCGUGUGCAAUUGUUGUUGACACUUUGGCCCGAGUUAUCCAGUGAUUUAUUCCCUAUGAAAAUAUUGAUGCUUUUCUAACAGUGUGUCAGUGUGAAAUAUUAUUCAGUGGUAUUUACUCUUACACGCUUUUUGGUGUUUGAAAGAAAAGGUGAUUGCAACGCAGUCAUUGGCUGUAUAACCCUUUGUGUAUGGAAAAGAAAAGGUUAUUUUGACAUUAAUUGACAUUUUAAAAACAUUUUGUGAUUGAAACAAAUAUUAUUUCUACAGUGAUUUCCUCUUCAACGCUUUGUGAUUGAAGAGGCAUUUCAACUAUUAGCUACUAUUUAACGCUUUGUGGUGAUUGAAAAAAAAACGAACAAACAAGUUAUCUCAAACGCGUUAUUUACAAACUAUUCCCAUAUGGUGAUUGAAAAAAAGUGUUAUUUAUCACUCCCAAACCUCCUGUGAUUAAUAAACGGAACAAAAAGUGCUAUCAAGGAACUACAACAGCCACCACUUCGUCAGCACCACUUCGUCAGCACACACACACACACACGUAGGCGCCACUUACAGUUGAUGUCCGAUGGUCGUCUUCAGCUGCGAAUGUUGACCGCAGGAGAGAGAUGCAGCUGAUGGCGUAAGCUGGUGUUGAGGAUCUGCAGCAGGUGUUAAACUGGACGACAUGAAGGUAA